CCAUGGAAGCUGUAUGACAAUGACUUGUCCCUUCACACACUUGAUUCCUGCCCACUGUCCGGAACAAGCUCCAUUACUGCCAUUCCAGCUAUCCACUCCAUCCCACAUCUGGCCGGUGACAGAUUGAAGAGACAAAGCCAAAAGAUGAGCCAAAAACAGAGCAUUGAGGUACGAAUAACCAUUUCUCCAUUGUUGGAUCUUCCAUUUUCUGUUCUUAUUGGAUGAUUUAGAGCACCAAACAGCUAUUUUUGGUGCAAGAAUCUGCAUGAACUGAAAUGGGUAUGAAGAAAACAAAAAGAUAAAAGAAAGAUUGGAUUCUUCUUCUUCUUGCUCUGGUUAUUCUAGGGUUUCUGAAAGUUGGGAGAUAUGUUUUAUAGGAGAAGACGAAGAAGAAACAAAAAGGAUAAUGAAAAAUAACGGAAAAAUGAUAUGAACUGAGAGAAAGAGUUGGAGUUGGACUGAUAUCAUGUGAGAAUCUGAAAUUUUAUUAUAAUUUAGGGCGGAGAAAGGGUUUAGCGUAAGCCCUACAUAAUGGGGUCUUGAGUCUUCGUUCUUUUAUGUCAACGGCUACAUUUUUUCUUCAGUUAUUCGGGCUACGUGACAUUUAUUUUUUCCCUUUGCUUCUGUAACGCUUUGUCGCUCCUCCAACGGCUAUAUUUGAUUGGGUCAAGCAUAGUUGGUGGAUAAUGUAUAAUGGGAAUUAUGAACGUACGUCGUGCCACUUGGGAUUGGAA